rnacentral:RNase_P_RNA from 1 species
CAAAGCCGUUUUUCUAUCGCUGUUCGCAUUUGCGAAGAGAGGAAAGUCCGGACAACACAGAGCACCAUACUUCCUAACAGGAAGGUUCAGUUAACUAAAGUUUGCUGAAACAGCAAGUGCCACAGAAAAUAACCGUCCCGAUUUAUCGGGAUAAGGGUGAAAACGUGAGGUAAGAGCUCACGCGCUUUGUUGGCAACAACAAAGUGGGGUAAACCUUAUGGGUUGAAAGACCAAGUAUACCGGAAUUAAGACUUGCUCGGUCGCUUCGGGGGGUUGGUCGUUAGAUUUUAUCGGUGACGAUAAAACUAGAUAAAUGAUAGAACUCAUGCUUGCAUGAUAACAGAAUCCGGCUUAUAAACGGCUUUUAAAA